CUCGGCAACGGAUAUCUCGGCUCUCGCAUCGAUGAAGAACGUAGCGAAAUGCGAUACUUGGUGUGAAUUGCAGAAUCCCGUGAAUCAUUGAGUCUUUGAACGCAAGUUGCGCCCGAAGCCAUUAGGCUGAGGGCACGUCUGCCUGGGCGUCACGC
rnacentral:rRNA from 1 species